GACGAACGCUGGCGGCGUGCCUAAUACAUGCAAGUCGAGCGGAGUAAAAAGCGUGCUUGCACGGUUUUUAUUUAGCGGCGAACGGGUGAGUAACACGUAGGUAACCUGGCCAUAAGACAGGGAUAACGCACGGAAACGUGAGCUAAAACCAGAUAGGCAUUUUCCACGCAUGAGGGAGAUGAGAAAAGGCGGAGCAAUCUGCCGCUUAUGGAUGGACCUGCGUCGCAUUAGCUAGUUGGAGUGGUAAAGGCACACCAAGGCGACGAUGCGUAGCCGACCUGAGAGGGUGAGCGGCCACACUGGACUGAGACACGGCCCAGACUCCUACGGGAGGCAGCAGUAGGGAAUCUUCCGCAAUGGACGAAAGUCUGACGGAGCAACGCCGCGUGAGUGAAGAAGGUUUC
rnacentral:rRNA from 1 species